UACAGAGGUCCCAAGCGUUGUUCGGAUUCACUGGGCGUAAAGGGUGCGCAGGUGGUUUGGCAAGUUUGACGUGAAAGCCCCGGGCUUAACCCGGGAAUGGCGUUGAAAACUGCUUGAACUGGAGGGUUGGAGGGGGGACUGGAAUUCUUGGUGUAGCAGUGAAAUGCGUAGAUAUCAAGAGGAACACCAGUGGCGAAAGGCGAGUCCCUGGACAAUACCUGACACUGAGGCACGAAAGCCAAGGGAGCAAACAGG
rnacentral:rRNA from 1 species